ACGGCGAGUGAAGCGGCAACAGCUCAAAUUUGAAAUCUGGCCCCCGGGCCCGAGUUGUAAUUUGCAGAGGAUGCUUUUGGCGAGGCGCCUUCCGAGUUCCCUGGAACGGGACGCCACAGAGGGUGAGAGCCCCGUCUGGUUGGAUGCCGAGCCUCUGUAAAGCUCCUUCGACGAGUCGAGUAGUUUGGGAAUGCUGCUCUAAAUGGGAGGUAUAUGUCUUCUAAAGCUAAAUACCGGCCAGAGACCGAUAGCGCACAAGUAGAGUGAUCGAAAGAUGAAAAGCACUUUGAAAAGAGGGUUAAACAGUACGUGAAAUUGUUGAAAGGGAAGCGCUUGUGACCAGACUUGGGCCCGGCGGAUCACCCAGCGUUCUCGCUGGUGCACUCCGGCGGGCCCAGGCCAGCAUCAGCUCGUCCCGGGGGACAAAGGCUCUGGGAAUGUGGCUCCUCCGGGAGUGUUAUAGCCCUCUGCGCAAUGCCCUGGGGCGGGCUGAGGACCGCGCAU
rnacentral:rRNA from 1 species